UCCCUGGUGGCCUAGUGGGUUAAGGAUCUAGCAUUGUCACUGCUGUGGCACAGGUUAGAUCCCUGGCCCAGGAA
rnacentral:tRNA from 1 species